AACUCUCCAAAUUGCUGUUGUGUUCCAUGGCAGAGGAAGUGAACAAACCGUAGAUCAGUGCCUGGCUUUGGGCACUGCUUGGCCAGGGGUCACUCCCACAGUGCAAUGCUGGGGUCCUCCUGGGAAGGGAAGCAAUGAGGUCAGAAAUGUCUCCUUGCCCCUUCAGUUGGGAUUUAAGGGAAUAACGGGUGAAUUCAGGUCUGUGAACCUGUGGCCAGGCCAGCCCCAAGCCACAGGCAGCAGGCAGAGGCUGCGCUAAUUUGGGAUGGAGUCACUGGGAGCAGCGUGUCAUCGGAUCUCCUGCUCCUGGGAUUUUUAAGGCAUUCUUCCAGGGUCUGUGCUCAACCUGCCUGUGUUGGUAAUCAAUAGAUGUAUGGUCACCCAAGCUGGCUGUGCAUCUCUUCUAUCAAAGCUGUGACAACGAAAGAUCAAGAUGUGAGCAGGCAGACUCAUGCAUCGAACGCUAUUUAAAAAGCAGGAUGAAUUAAUUACCACCAUUAACGACCAAGGAUAGAGUUUGGGAGGCUUCAGUUAGCAAAUGAGAAAACCACAUCGAUGGCAUCCCAGUGCCAUGCCCUAAGAUGGGUAUGGUCCCCAGGCAACCCAGUGCCAUGCUGAGAGAUGGGUCCAUACUCCUGAGCUCCCGAUACUACGCCUCAAGAUUGCUCUGGUCCCUGAACAUCUCAAGCUGUUCCCACUGCACAGUGCUGGUUUUCCCAUCCAGCUGCUUGCUCAGAUCCUGUUAAUUAGGAUUAUUUUUUAAUUGCUUGUAGGCAUUGCUGUCCUUUUGCAGCCCCAUUGAAGGAGCAGUGCAGAGGACCAUCAGCCUGUUUUCUGUGCUGGUUGGUUGUAAUGCAGCAACACCAGAGCUGCAAACAGACAGGACUUGUCAGCUGUAAAAGACACUGGCAGAUUUUAUUAGUUGACAGAAGGGGCAUUUUUCCUCCCCCCUCCCUCAUGAAAAUAUUAAAAAGUCAUUCUAGUUUAGAAACCUAAUUUUAAUUUAGUUAGGUUUUAAUUUAAUUUAGGUUUUAAAUUCAUUUUCUGUCAGAACUCAAUUUUUCAAGUGUAAUUUGAUGCCGUCAGUGGCUAUAAUGUUUAAUGUCCUGCCUAUAAAUUGUGGGGACGGCUCAGAGAUGAUUUACAGGAUUCAAGCUGAUGUGGCCACUGGAUGAGGCUGUGCCUGACCCUGCGCAUUACCCAACAUGGGAGGAGGUUAGCAUAGGAAAAUGACCCAAAGGGCUGUGUUAUCAGAAAGCCCUAUUUGUAGUCACCUGCAUAAAAUUUGUGUUUCUUUCCUGUAUUUCAAGCCAGGCCCCUGUAAAAUAUGGCACCAUUGCAUAAAAUGCCAUCCCAAUUUAAUCCAUCCCUCUGCAUGUUCCAUCUAAUUAUGGUAUUAGAGAAGUCUUCAGAGCAUGUAUUGAGCAUUAUAAAUGGGGAUAAGAUGAUUCUGGUAAUGGCUUAAUGAUACAGGUGAGACACUUGGUGCCUCCCUGCAUCCCUGGGCUGUGGCCAGCCUCAUUUGGCAGAGAACAACCCCAGGGUGCUCACAUCCAUUAGCAGGCUUUGAUUUUGCUCUUGCUUUUGGCUUCUGAGUAGCAUCUCAUUACCUGCAGGGCAUAGUGGGCCCAUGGGAAUUCUUGCACAAUAACAUUUGUUUGUCUUUUCUCUUGGCCAGCAUAUGCAUUUACAGGUGUUGCAUGAAUCCCAUGGCUGCCCAAAGGCUGCCCAGAGCAUCUCCAUGGGAUUUGCUUCCUGUGAUGCUUGGCCACGUGUAGCAAUUGGACAGAUCAAUACAAUAAGAAAAGCAAUACAACAAAGGCGUGAUGAUGGAAGGACCAACACAAUAGGAAGAUGCAGAAAAAGAAGAGAUGAAAAUUGCUCACCUGUGUCAGCAGAUCCUAGGUUUACAGGGAAAAGCUUCACCAAGUAUAGACCUCCAGAAAGAGAUCCUUCCCCAGUGGCAGUCAGCCCUUAAAUGAGGUCUGAGAGAGGUGCAGCCAGGCUACACCCCUUUCCUAUCCCACAACUGAAUUGCCUUCACCUGUGUGCCCUGGGAUGACCAGGUCCUUCUCUCAAGUUCUCAAUCAUUGGUUAAAGCUGUGACUCAGCAGUUCCCAUACAGCCACAGGUUGAUCUCAUCCCAUAUCUCAACCUUUGUCUAUCUCACCUUAAAUCUCAUUUGUUACCAAACUGGUGCAGUUGUGGUUGUGAGCUGGUGGGACCUGGGACACAUGGCAGCAUCCAAGCAUGGUGCUGGAAAAGUGCUGGGGCCUCAGAAUUCCAGACUGGCUGAGAUUGUAAGGAGCCUCUGGGUCCAUUUGGUCCAACACCCAGAGGGAUAUAACCCAUUAGGAACACCCAGAGCAGGGUGCCCAGCACUGUAUCUAGCUGGCUUUUGAAGAUGUCAAAGAGGAGACCCCACAGUCUGCCUGUUCUCAUCCGUCCAUUUCCACCUGUCCUUCAGAACUCACUGUGGCCCCAAAUGGCCUGGUCCAGCCUUGGCUUGGUCCCUCCUGACCUGUGUUUUGUUUUACACCUGUGUAAAUCUGCAAGCUGAAUGACAUUCAUGCCCACCAGCCCCACCACUUCCAACCUGGUUCCUGCAGAGCUGAGGCUCCCAGCUUGUGCUAUCUUCCCCCAAAACAUUUGAUGCCUUCGGUCAAUUUUAACCCGAUUACUGCAGAUGUGCACGUUUCAGAGAGAUUAACUUCUGAAGACUCCCCUGAAGAUCGGCUGUCAGGCUGCCAGGGAAAAAAAACACCAAGAUUAUCGCCCUUGGUUGAGAGCAAAAAGUGCAAAGAUUGUGAGCACAGCCAUGCUAUGAGGCACGGGAGAAUCCGCUGCUGCUGCAGAGCUGGGGUUCCCAAAGCUCUGGGUGCUCCCUGGUUGGGUGCAGGGUGCUCGUCCCCACCGGCAUGAUGCCACCGGCAUCCCCCAGGUUGUCAUGGCUACUGACGCAUGGGACCCCAGGGACUGGGCUGGGAAUUAAUGGCAGCCCUGGAUAAAGGAUUCCUGUCUCGGCCGAGUUGAUGGAUUACAUUGAUGUGCCAUUUGUCAUACUGUAAUUGUUCUGGCAAAUGUAAUACCCACUAGUAUAAACAUUGUGCUGCUUUGCUAAUAAAACCGAAAAUAGGAAGAGAAAGGA